CUCCCUGCUCCAAAAAUCCAUUGUAGCCUUGCCAAAAGCAAGGCCUCAAAAAAUUGGGUAAAAACUCAGAAUUGUUCCUCUCCACGGAAAUCUUUAGUAAAAGGCGAAA